AGACUUUGAUUGUGGCUCAGGAUUAACGCUGGCGGCGUGCCUAACACAUGCAAGUCGAGCGAGAAGUUUUUUGUGAAGAUUUCGGUUGGAACAGAAGAUGGAAAGCGGCAGACGGGUGAGUAACGCGUGAAUAAUCAACCCUGCACAAAGGGAUAGCCUCGGGAAACCGGGAUUAAUACCAUAUGAAGUACAUUAAUCGAAUGGUAGAUGUAUUAAAGUUUUUAACGGUGCAGGACAAGUUCGCGUCCCAUUAGCUAGUUGGUGAGAUAACAGCUUACCAAGGCGACGAUGGGUAGCCGGCCUGAGAGGGUGAACGGCCACACUGGAACUGAGACACGGUCCAGACUCCUACGGGAGGCAGCAGUGGGGAAUAUUGCACAAUGGAGGAAACUCUGAUGCAGCGACGCCGCGUGAGCGAAGAAGGCCUUCGGGUCGUAAAGCUCUUUCACCCGCGAAGAUGAUGACGGUAGCGGGAGAAGAAGCCCCGCUAACUUCCGUUGCCAGCAGCCCGCGGGUAAUACCGGAGGGGGGACAACCGUUGUUCGGAUUUACCUGGGGCCG
rnacentral:rRNA from 1 species